CCAGCUGCUGAACUACAUCCACAAGCCAGGCCUAACACACAUGAGAACAGUGGUAUUGUUUUCCCCAAAAACUCAGUCUUUUAUAUACCCUACUGCUAUAUUGUUGUUGCUUUCAUAUGUUUCAGAAUGUCUUUGUCAGGACAAAAUACGUACAUCAAAUUAGAGUAUGCUGGUUAGCUAUGAAAGUCUGAUUAAACAGCUCUCUGUUUUUUUAACUAAGCUGCCAACUCUCUGAAAGGAGCUUUGGUUUUAAGGAGAGUAACAACAACCAUUCUCUUUAUGCCACAAAUUGAAUUUGGGUUGGACAGCUCAAAUUCUAUUUAAUUGUGAAAAUAUUAAUAGUUACCUUAUGCUUAAAAAAUAAAUAAAAUCACAACCAAGAACCAGAUCCUUGAACCCAUUCAGAACCCAGUAGGUUUUGUUGAUGGAUGAUAUGGCAUGCGGAAAAAGGGAUUGAAGCUCAAGUUGGUGUGAUGACAGUCCUCUGUUGGUGAAGGCAGAGAACUUUCAGGCGUCUUUUACUAUUCACAUAAGGUUAUAAGGCAUGUUAUAUUUCUAGCCGCACGAUUCCACUAAAACGGAUCGGACGGCUGACAGUGAAGGUAGAGAAUUCAUGGUCUUGCAUAUAUGUGAAUACUUCACAAUUGCUGCACCCUGAGAGAGCAUAUAUUAGAA
rnacentral:lncRNA from 1 species